AUUGAACGCUGGCGGCAGGCCUAACACAUGCAAGUCGAGCGGAUGAAGGGAGCUUGCUCCUGGAUUCAGCGGCGGACGGGUGAGUAAUGCCUAGGAAUCUGCCUGGUAGUGGGGGAUAACGUCCGGAAACGGGCGCUAAUACCGCAUACGUCCUGAGGGAGAAAGUGGGGGAUCUUCGGACCUCACGCUAUCAGGUGAUCCUAGGUCGGAUUAGCUAGUUGGUGGGGUAAAGGCCUACCAAGGCGACGAUCCGUAACUGGUCUGAGAGGAUGAUCAGUCACACUGGAACUGAGACACGGUCCAGACUCCUACGGGAGGCAGCAGUGGGGAAUAUUGGACAAAGGGCGAAAGCCUGAUCCAGCCAUGCCGCGUGUGUGAAGAAGGUCUUCGGAUUGUAAAGCACUUUAAGUUGGGAGGAAGGGCAGUAAGUUAAUACCUUGCUGUUUUGACGUUACCAACAGAAUAAGCACCGGCUAACUUCGUG
rnacentral:rRNA from 1 species